GAGCAUCUUUGUGGCUCAAGUUUUUAAGGGCACACGGUGGAUGCCUUGGCACCAGGAACCGAAGAAGGACGUAGGAAUCUGCGAUAAGCCUCGGGGAGUCGAUAACCAGACUGUGAUCCGAGGAUUUCCGAAUGGGGAAACCCGGCUGGAGGCAAGUCCAGUCACUCCCGCCUGAACACAUAGGGCGGGUAGAGGGAACGUGGGGAAGUGAAACAUCUCAGUACCCACAGGAAGAGAAAGCAACCGCGAUUCCGUGAGUAGUGGCGAGCGAAAGCGGAAGAGGCUAAACCUCAGUUGUGUGAUACCUGUCAGGGGUUGCAGCUGGGGGGUCGUGGGACUUUUCGGUCAGUGCUGACACGCUGGCAUGGAGUCAGAAAUGCGCGUUGUAGUCGAAGGGCAUUGAAAGGCCCGGCACAGAGGGUGCUACCCCCGUAGACGAAACGAUGCGCACUCCAGAGAAGUAUCCCAAGUAGCACGGGGCCCGAGAAAUCCCGUGUGAAUCUGGCGGGACCACCCGCUAAGCCUAAAUAUUCCCUGGUGACCGAUAGCGGACAAGUACCGUGAGGGAAAGGUGAAAAGUACCCCGGGAGGGGAGUGAAAUAGAUCCUGAAACCGUGUGCCUACAAUCCGUCGGAGCCUCCUUGUGGGGUGACGGCGUGCCUUUUGAAGAAUGAGCCUGCGAGUUAGUGCUCAGUGGCGAGGUUAACCCGUGUGGGGAAGCCGUAGCGAAAGCGAGUCCGAAUAGGGCGUUUUAGUCGCUGGGUCUAGACCCGAAGCGGAGUGAUCUACCCAUGGCCAGGUUGAAGCGACGGUAAGACGUCGUGGAGGACCGAACCCACUUAGGUUGAAAACUGAGGGGAUGAGCUGUGGGUAGGGGUGAAAGGCCAAUCAAACUCCGUGAUAGCUGGUUCUCCCCGAAAUGCAUUUAGGUGCAGCGUCACGUGUUUCUUACCGGAGGUAGAGCUACUGGAUAGCUGAUGGGCCUCACCAGGUUACUGACGUUAGCCAAACUCCGAAUGCCGGUAAGUGAGAGCGUGGCAGUGAGACUGCGGGGGAUAAGCUCCGUAGUCGAGAGGGAAACAGCCCAGACCACCAUCUAAGGUCCCUAAGCGUGUGCUAAGUGGGAAAGGAUGUGGAGUUGCAUUGACAACCAGGAGGUUGGCUUAGAAGCAGCCACCCUUUAAAGAGUGCGUAAUAGCUCACUGGUCAAGUGAUUCCGCGCCGACAAUGUAGCGGGGCUCAAGCACACCACCGAAGCUGUGGCAUUGACACACUGCUCGGCCAGUUUUCCUGCGGGGUUCUGGUCCAGGCGUGUUGAUGGGUAGGGGAGCGUCGUGUGGCCAGGGAAGCGGCGGAGUGAUCCAGCCGUGGAGGCCACACGAGUGAGAAUGCAGGCAUGAGUAGCGAAUGACGGGCGAGAAACCCGUCCGCCGAAUAACCAAGGGUUCCAGGGUCAAGCUAAUCUGCCC
rnacentral:rRNA from 1 species